rnacentral:rRNA from 1 species
GUGAACGCUGGCGGUAGGCCUAACACAUGCAAGUCGAACGGCAGCACAGUAAGAGCUUGCUCUUACGGGUGGCGAGUGGCGGACGGGUGAGGAAUACAUCGGAAUCUACUUUUUCGUGGGGGAUAACGUAGGGAAACUUACGCUAAUACCGCAUACGACCUACGGGUGAAAGCAGGGGAUCUUCGGACCUUGCGCGAUUGAAUGAGCCGAUGUCGGAUUAGCUAGUUGGCGGGGUAAAGGUCCACCAAGGCGACGAUCCGUAGCUGGUCUGAGAGGAUGAUCAGCCACACUGGAACUGAGACACGGUCCAGACUCCUACGGGAGGCAGCAGUGGGGAAUAUUGGACAAUGGGCGCAAGCCUGAUCCAGCCAUACCGCGUGGGUGAAGAAGGCCUUCGGGUUGUAAAGCCCUUUUGUUGGGAAAGAAAAGCAGCAGGUUAAUACCCCGCUGUUCUGACGGUACCCAAAGAAUAAGCACCGGCUAACUUCGUG